rnacentral:rRNA from 1 species
GCUCGUAGUUGGAUUUCUGAAGUUGAGGUGGGAGGGUGGCUAUGGCCAUCGCCCAUCUCUUCCUUCAUCCACCUGUUAGCGAAUCCCGGGAUUGAUUUCUCGGUUUCGGGCUCAGGUAUCUUACCAUUUUCUAUAUUUGCAAUCUUCAUCGAUUAUGCAUUUUUUUCUUUGAGCAAAUUAUAGUGUUUCAGGCAGGCGUGCGCCGGAAUACAUUAGCAUGGUAUAAACGAAUUGGACCGUGUAUUCAUUAUUUGAAUUUUUCCUUAUUUGUUGGUUUGAAGGACACGGAGAUGGUUAAUAGGGACAGAAUUUAUUUCAGGGGGAGGCAUUAGUAUUUAAUUUCCAGAGGUGAAAUUCUUUGAAAUAUUAAAGACUAACUUAUGCGAAAGCAUUUAUUUGCCAAUGAUGUUUUCAUUAAUCAUUGAACGAAAGUUAGGGGAUCAAAGACGAUCAGAUACCGUCCUAGUCUUAACCAUAAACGUUGCCGACUAGGGAUCGGAGGGCGUGCACAUUCCGCCUUCGGCACCUUACGAGAAAUCAAAGUCUUUUGGGUUCUGUGGGUAGUAUGGUCGCAAGGCUGAAACUUAAAGGAAUUGACGGAAGGGCACCACCAGGAGUGGAGC